AGCGAACGCUGGCGGCAGGCCUAACACAUGCAAGUCGAACGAAGCCUUCGGGCUUAGUGGCGGACGGGUGAGUAACACGUGGGAACGUACCUUUUGGUUCGGAACAACUCAGGGAAACUUGAGCUAAUACCGGAUGAGCCCUUAGGGGGAAAGAUUUAGUCGCCGAAAGAGCGGCCCGCGUUAGAUUAGCUAGUUGGUGAGGUAAAGGCUCACCAAGGCAACGAUCUAUAGCUGGUCUGAGAGGAUGAUCAGCCACACUGGGACUGAGACACGGCCCAGACUCCUACGGGAGGCAGCAGUGGGGAAUCUUGCGCGAUGGGCGAAAGCCUGACGCAGCCAUGCCGCGUGAAUGAUGAAGGUCUUAGGAUUGUAAAAUUCUUUUACCAGGGACGAUAAUGACGGUACCUGGAGAAAAAGCCCCGGCUAACUUCGUGCCAGCCGCCGCCGUAACAC
rnacentral:rRNA from 1 species